CAAAAUAUAGCUUAGCUAAAGCAUCUCGCUUACACCGAGAAAACGCCUGUUAAAACCAGUCUAUUUUGA
rnacentral:tRNA from 1 species